rnacentral:rRNA from 1 species
UACGUAGGGGGCGAGCGUUGUCCGGAUUUAUUGGGCGUAAAGCGCUCGCAGGCGGUCCGAUGCGUCGUGCGUGAAAGCCCCCGGCUCAACUGGGGAGGGUCGUGCGAUACGGUCGGACUUGAGGCCAGUAGGGGGAUGCGGAAUUCCCGGUGUAGCAGUGAAAUGCGUAGAUAUCGGGAGGAAUACCGAUGGCGAAGGCAGGUCUCUGGGCUGACACUGACGCUCAUGCACGAAAGCGUGGGGAGCAAACAGG